CGGGGCGUGGCUCAGCCUGGUAGAGCACCUGGUUCGGGACCAGGGGGUCGGUGGUUCAAAUCCACUCGCCCCGACCA
rnacentral:tRNA from 1 species